rnacentral:tRNA from 4 species
UGCGGGGUGGAGGAGAAGUACCUCGCGAGGCUCAUAACCUUGAGACCCGGGUGCAAAUCCCGGUCCCGCAA